rnacentral:lncRNA from 1 species
UUAUUGUUGCUUGAAGCUGCCGGUGAAUGAGAAGAUAUUUGUCUUCCGGAUAUAAUUCGGAUUCGCCGGAAUCCAUUGGAAGAGUGAUGAGUUUUUGCGAAUAAGAGAGGAAUGGAAACAAUUUAUACGGGUAAAUGAGUUGCAAAGAAUAUUUGGAUAUCGGCGACGGCGAUUGAAGUUGACAACAGUCAACGAGCGUAUAGCGGGCGGCUGAAUACAUUCCCGGCGGCAAAAUCGACGGAGGCAAUUACGGCAGCUGAGAAGCUUGC